rnacentral:tRNA from 1 species
CGGGAUGUAGCUCAGCUUGGUAGAGCGCGCGCUUUGGGAGCGUGAGGUCGCAGGUUCAAGUCCUGUCAUCCCGA